AUUGAACGCUGGCGGCAGGCCUAACACAUGCAAGUCGAACGAGUGGCGGACGGGUGAGUAAUGUCUGGGAAACUGCCCGAUGGAGGGGGAUAACUACUGGAAACGGUAGCUAAUACCGCAUACCAUCGGAUGUGCCCAGAUGGGAUUAGCUAGUAGGUGGGGGAAGGGCUCACCUAGGAGACGAUCCCUAGCUGGUCUGAGAGGAUGACCGGCCACACGGGAACUGUGACACGGUCCAGACUCCUAGGGGAGGCAGCAGGGGGGAAUAGUGCAAAAUGGGCGCAAGCCUGAUGCAGCCAUGCCGCGUGUAUGAAGAAGGCAUUCGGGUUGUAAAGUAGUUUCAGCGAGGAGGCGUUACUCGCAGAAGAAGCACCGGCUAACUCCGUGCCAGCAGCCGCGGUAAUAC
rnacentral:rRNA from 1 species